GGUAUUUGCACAAAGAGGAGCACUCUUUGUUCCUUCAUAAUGAGCAGGAAUCACCGAGUGCCGCAGUUGCAGCUCAUCAGCAGCCAAUGCAGUUAUGGCAUCAACGGUUAGGGCAUCUCAGCUCUAGAGGUAUGUUUGCUCUUAGAGAUAGGUUAAAACAUGGUUGUAUGUUUCAGGCUGAGGAAUCACUUUCAGAUUGUGCUGCUUGUCUUAAGGGCAAGUUGGUCGCAAAACCAUUUCCAAAGAGUGGUGCCAGUCGUGCAACCAGGGCUCUGGAGCUUGUACACUCUGACGUCUGUGGGCCCAUGCCGGUGAGCAGCUGGGGUGGUGCAAAUUAUAUUCUGACACUGACUGAUGAUUAUUCAAGGAAGAGCUACGUGUACUUGAUGAAGAACAAAUCGGAGGUAUGUAGCCGCUUCAUAGAAUUUAAAAAUAUGGUUGAAAAGCAGACUGGUUUAUCAAUCAAAUGUCUUCGUAGUGACAAUGGGACCGAGUAUGUAAAUUCAACUUUGUCUGGGUUUUUACGUGAACAGGGGAUAGUGCAUCAGCUUACCGUGCCUUAUUGUCCUCAACAGAAUGCUGUUUCAGAACGGUUGAACCGUACCCUUAUGGAUAAAGUACACUUAAGUUUUGUAAGAAAUUUCUUGGUAGAGCUCUUUACAAAUUUAAAAUUGAACUGUAUAACUGUGUAUAACGACAAUCAAAGUGCGCACAGAUUAUUAGAGUGUAAAGAAUAUUGUCACAAGCGCACUAAACACAUUGAUAUUCGUUAUCACUAUGUAAAGGACCUUGUAAAUAGCAACUUUGUGACUGUAAAAUAUUUGUGUACAGAGAAAAUGAUUGCUGAUGUGUUGACCAAACCUCUAGACAAGAAAAAGCAUAACAUGUUUAUUUAUGAGCUUUGUGUUCGACAUAUAUCAGGAUGAGAAAUGUAAUGUAUACUUUUGUAGUCAUAGAGUAAUUUAUAAUUUUUUAUUUUUUGCUGUUUACGUUAUAUGCAUAAGGGGAAGUGUUAGAAAUAUAAUAUUUAUGUGGUAUGCAUACAACGUAACACACAUAUUAUGUACUUACUCUGUGGCUUGUCCUCGCCUCUUUCUCUCUCUGCUCAACCUCCCAAUGACGCGCACUGUGUGUGAGGCUUUUAUUUGUAAUAUUAAUUGUAUUCAAGUUUGUGUAAAGAUAUUACUGACGAUAAUUAUGUGUGGUUUAUUAUGUGCAAUAAACAAACUCAUAAUGUGA